GGCGGCGUGCUAUACAUGCAAGUCGAACGCUUUUUCUUUCACCGGAGCUUGCUCCACCGAAAAGAAAAAGAGUGGCGAACGGGUGAGUAACACGUGGGUAACCUGCCCAUCAGAAGGGGAUAACACUUGGAAACAGGUGCUAAUACCGUAUAACACUAUUUUCCGCAUGGAAGAAAGUUGAAAGGCGCUUUUGCGUCCCUGAUGGAUGGACCCGCGGUGCAUUAGCUAGUUGGUGAGGUAACGGCUCACCAAGGCCACGAUGCAUAGCCGACCUGAGAGGGUGAUCGGCCACACUGGGACUGAGACACGGCCCACACUCCUACGGGAGGCAGCAGUAGGGAAUCUUCGGCAAUGGACGAAAGUCUGACCGAGCAACGCCGCGUGAGUGAAGAAGGUUUUCGGAUCGUAAAACUCUGUUGUUAGAGAAGAACAAGGAUGAGAGUAAAACGUUCAUCCCUUGACGGUAUCUAACCAGAAAGCCACGGCUAACUACGUGCCAGCAGCCGCGGUAAUACGUAGGUGGCAAGCGUUGUCCGGAUUUAUUGGGCGUAAAGCGAGCGCAGGCGGUUUCUUAAGUCUGAUGUGAAAGCCCCCGGCUCAACCGGGGAGGGUCAUUGGAAACUGGGAGACUUGAGUGCAUAACAGGAGAGUGGAAUUCCAUGUGUAGCGGUGAAAUGCGUAGAUAUAUGGAGGAACACCAGUGGCAAAGGCGGCUCUCUGGUCUGUAACUGACGCUGAGGCUCGAAAGCGUGGGGAGCCCACAGGAUUAGAUACCCUGGGUAGUCCCCGCCCGUAAACUAGGAGUGCUAAGGUGGUGGAGGGUUGUCCCGCCCCUCUGUUGCUGCAGCCAACCUCAUGAAAGCCACUCCCCGCCGUG
rnacentral:rRNA from 1 species